rnacentral:rRNA from 1 species
GACAGCAGGUAGCCGCGGUAAUACAGAGGGUGCGAGCGUUAAUCGGAUUUACUGGGCGUAAAGCGUGCGUAGGCGGCUUCUUAAGUCGGAUGUGAAAUCCCUGAGCUUAACUUAGGAAUUGCAUUCGAUACUGGGAAGCUAGAGUAUGGGAGAGGAUGGUAGAAUUCCAGGUGUAGCGGUGAAAUGCGUAGAGAUCUGGAGGAAUACCGAUGGCGAAGGCAGCCAUCUGGCCUAAUACUGACGCUGAGGUACGAAAGCAUGGGGAGCAAACAGGAUUAGAUACCCCUGUAGUCCCUGUCUCUUAUA